AGGGACUCCAAAAUCAAGCCCCUUGUCGGGCUUUCUCUUUUCUGAGAGAGUAUUUUCCUGGCAGUGCAAGCCCUGAUCCCCCACACUUCAUCAUCCACUACAGAGACACAGAGAUUGAACAAUCAAUCAUGUCAUUCUCGUUCUUCAAGCCUUCGAGGCCUAAAACCCCUCAAGAGCUCGUUAAGGCUAUCAAGGACUGCCUCACUGCUCUUGACGCCAAAACCGUCGCCGAGGUUCAAGCCCUCAAGAAGGCUUUGGAAGAAGUUGAGAAGAACUUUGCAACAAUGAGAGUUAUGCUUUGUGGAGAUGGGGAGGUUGAACCCAACAUGGAUCAGGUUUCGUAGUUGACGCUUGAAAUCUGUAAAGAAGAUGUUCUUGCUCUUUUUAUUCACAAGUUACCUAUAUUGGGAUGGGAAGCAAGAAAAGAUCUGGUUCACUGUUGGUCCAUAUUGUUGAAACAAAAGGGUGACUCCACUUAUUGCUGUGUGCAAUAUCUAGAGAACCAUUUAGAAUUACUAGACUUUCUUGUUGUGAGCUAUGAUAACAAGGAAAUUGCCUUGAAUUGUGGAAAUAUAUUGAGGGAAUGCAUCAAAUUACCUACUCUUGCAAAGUAAG